rnacentral:lncRNA from 1 species
GUGUCGGGGAGGAGCCGGGCGCGGAGGUACGCUGAGUGGAGCUCGGGGCUGCGUAGGGGAGCUGAGCCGAGCGGCUGGGCGGGCCUGGCCGGGCCGGCGGAGGGGAGACGUCGGUUGAGCGGCGGCGAACAUGCGCUUUUGACACAUUGGAGGCUUUCUUGAUCAUGGAUGGUGAAGAUAUACCAGAUUUUUCAAGUUUAAAGGAGGAAACUGCUUAUUGGAAGGAACUUUCCUUGAAGUAUAAGCAAAGCUUCCAGGAAGCUCGGGAUGAGCUAGUUGAAUUCCAGGAAGGAAGCAGAGAAUUAGAAGCAGAGUUGGAGGCACAAUUAGUACAGGCUGCAUGCAGUGGCGGCUACUGGGCCCUGCCCAGCCCCGGAACUCUGCGCGAUAUCAAUACUGGCUAUUUUCUCUUCUCGCCGUAGUGCCGUUGGUUUCACAUGAUUGCACUUUUGUG